AACGAACGCUGGCGGCGUGCCUAACACAUGCAAGUCGAACGAAGCCUUCGGGCUUAGUGGCGCACGGGUGCGUAACACGUGGGAAUCUGCCCUUCGGUUCGGAAUAACAGUUAGAAAUGACUGCUAAUACCGGAUGAUGACGUAAGUCCAAAGAUUUAUCGCCGAAGGAUGAGCCCGCGUAGGAUUAGGUAGUUGGUAGGGUAAUGGCCUACCAAGCCGACGAUCCUUAGCUGGUCUGAGAGGAUGAUCAGCCACACUGGGACUGAGACACGGCCCAGACUCCUACGGGAGGCAGCAGUGGGGAAUAUUGGACAAUGGGCGAAAGCCUGAUCCAGCAAUGCCGCGUGAGUGAUGAAGGCCUUAGGGUUGUAAAGCUCUUUUACCAGGGAUGAUAAUGACAGUACCUGGAGAAUAAGCUCCGGCUAACUCCGUGCCAGCAGCCGCGG
rnacentral:rRNA from 1 species